rnacentral:rRNA from 1 species
AUCGAACGCUGGCGGCAGGCCUAAUACAUGCAAGUCGAACGAGUGGCGGAGGGGCGAGCAAUGUCUGGGAAACUGCCUGAUGGAGGGGGAUAACUACUGGAAACGGUAGAUAAUACCGCAUACCGUCCGAUCUGCCCUUUGGGGAUUAGCGUGUUGGUGGGGUAACGGCUCACCAAGGCGACUAUCCCUAGCUGGGCUGAGAGGGUGACCAGCCACACUGGAACUGAGACACGGUCCAGACUCCUACGGGAGGCAGCAGUGGGGAAUCUUGCACAAUGGGCGAAAGCCUGAUGCAGCAAUGCCGCGUGUAUGAAGAAGGCCUUCGGGUUGUAAAGUACUUUCAGCGGGGAGGCGUUACCCGCAGAAGAAGCACCGGCUAACUCCGUGCCAGCAGCCGCGGUAAUAC